rnacentral:rRNA from 1 species
CAGGUACAGAGGGCAGCUACCCAGCAAUGGGAUGCGAAUCUCGAAAGCCUGUCUCAGUUCGGAUUGGAGGCUGAAACCCGCCUCCAUGAAGUUGGAUUCGCUAGUAAUCGCGCAUCAGCCAUGGCGCGGUGAAUACGUUCCCGGGCCUUGUACACACCGCCCGUCAAGCCAUGGGAGCCGGGGGUGCCUGAAGUUCGUGACCGCAAGGAGCGACCUAGGGCAAAACUGGUGACUGGGGCUAAGUCGUAACAAGGUACC